rnacentral:lncRNA from 1 species
UGCAAGGUUGAACCUAUAUAAUAAAUCCACAUACUUUUCCAAAAACAAAACAGUACACAAGGCUUUUUCAUGCAGCUACAACACAACUCAACUCUCAUCAACAUAACCUUCCAUUAGUUCAAGGUAUCAUCAGCAAGAUUCCAGUACACAAGCAAAUCGCCAACGUUCAGAAAUGCGGCGUCAUAUAACUGGUCAUUCAUUCAUUCGUGCACCAGAAGUCAGUACAGACAUCUAGAAUCCAACAAUAUGAAAUGGUACUACCACGAUGAUCCACCAAUUUCCAAAUUGGUUCACAGCAAACCAAAAUAAACCUUACAUAAUAUUAGUGGUAAUAACCGCAGUGAAGACGGAGGGAAACUAAGGAAGAAAGAUUAGUGAUGGCUAUAAUAGUACUUCGGUAGGUAGGUAUCACCAUAGCUCAUCCAGGACAGGUUAGUGCCCGGACGAGGUCAUCGGUGUUAGUGGAGAAUAGUUGCAGGAGUUGUUGAUGGGCACGUGCAGACGAAUGCCUCCUCUUACAAGGAGUCGCUGCGCUGGGUCUUGGCCUGAGGAGACUCAGGUUAGGUUUGCCAAGCCCCAAAGAAGAGCAGUAUGCACAACUGCCGGGCUUGUGGCGGCAAGACAUUGAUCCAUGAGCUUGAGUUGCCCUUCCCUAACAUCAUCAGCAGCCUUGGCUCCAUUCCCCAUUGCUCUACACUGCAAAAGAGCAGAUGUCUUAAUGAAGUGAUGUUGGUAAAAGGCUGCAGCAAGCAAUUUUUGUACAAAAACAUAACCGGCAAUAACAUUUGCAAUAGGCAGCUCCAGGAAUAAUGUGGAUAAACAAGUAAGCUUAAGCAGGUACUCCCUCCGUUCCGAAUUACUUGUCAUAGGUAUGGAUGUAUCUAGAUGUAUUUUAGUUCUAGAUACAUCCAUUUCUGCGACGAGUAAUUUGGGACGGAGGGAGUACAUAAUAAUUCACAAAAGUAAUUAUGCUGGACUUGAUGCCGCUUUUGCUGAAAGUCAAAGUACUCAUGUUUUUAUUUGUUCUACUGAAAGGCAUCAUGUUAGCUUGGACUGUGGUACAAGGGCAGCGAGAAGACAAGGUUUUUACCAAGCUUACCGAAGAAACAUGCUGUUCGAAAAUAUUACGUACAAACCAUCAGUGUAACAACUAUCGAUUUCAAAUUUAGGCAAUGUCCAGGAGAAAAGCACGGCCUGAGAACUUUACUGGUUAAGUUCGGCUUGAUCAUUUGACCACUAGGCUUGAAGGGUCCAAUUCCAUUACAACCAAUACAUAACAACUUCAACAAUACAAUAACGGCAAUUAUUAUAAUUUUCACAUGCCACAACCAGUCCUUCAUGAAUUCUGGAAUAUAUUUUUACCACAUUUCUUACUCUAAUUUGAAAUAGCCAAGUGAACUGAUGCAUGUAGAAUGACUCGAUUGGGUGCAAGAUUGAUGUUCCAAUGGUUGCUUUACUCUUCUUGUCAUAAAAUUUUGACAUGUAUGCUGCUUGUAUUUAUGACUACAAAAGUAAAAGUAACUAGUAAACCAAUAGCCCCAUCGUCUUUUUUUCUCUUCAAGUUGCAAAUUAUCAAGUGUCAUUAUCUGCUUUUAUAGUCGUUACCAUUAACAAAGGCCAUUCGCAGUUGCAUCUUCAAUCACAUCCCAAGCUAUUGCUCACUCAAAUUGUGAGACUGCAUAGAACUAUCAAAGGCAAGCAUACCAAAGGCCAUAUGAUGGCAUCUUAUCUCAUAUAGGACAACAGGCAAUAUUUGGCAUUCAUGGUAGCAUGUACAACCCCACCACCAAGAAACAAUGUGCAAAACACCUUGUUAUAUACUCCCUAGAUACAUCCGUAUCUAGACACAUCAAAGACAAGAAUUUUGGGAUGGAGGUAAUAGUUAACUACACAUGUCAGAUGUGAAGCUGAGGUGAGAUGAUGCUGUAAUGUGAAGUGCUCCAGGUUCUUUAGAUUCAUAUACAGCACAGGGAAGUUCAGAGUAGGCUCGUGGAACCAGCAAUAGAUUUAUGCAUCAGUACUUUUGUAAUCAGAUGUACAUCCUACAGUAUUCCAACAAAGCAGAGAAAGGUCACCACUGGAGAAUGUGCGUCCUGCUCCCAAGACAUUACUCGCUAAACUGCCAGGAUUUUACAUCCACAUUUUCCAUGCUUGGUUUUACCGGAUUAACUAGUCACUUUCCAGCUUUGUUCCGCAGGACGAACAUACCCAGACCACACUGAAUAUGUGCAAGCUGAACUAAAGAAAAUCAAUUGCUAACUGUACCAAUCAACUAGUACAGCAACUGGCAUUUGACUUUGUGAUCCGCAGCUAGAUAGAUCACGGAUCACCACAAAGUACUAGAUGCACUCAUACAGCAACACUGCAAGGAUCCUACAAGUCUACAACGAGAAGCAUGUGCACAACAGAGUACUAGUCGCAGCAACUCCUUCAGGAGUCGCUGCAGAGACAAGGAUGUCCACCAAUGCACCUACAAACGAUCUCGAGCAGCUUACUACCGCUAAAGCAUCGUCGGGGCACCAACAUUCUCCCAGAGUGAUGCGGCGGCGCUCCCCUUCUCAGGAACGGAACCAUCGAGGACACAAACAAAAAUCCCCAGCGCCACCGCACAUUCCGCUAGAGAGAUCAUCGCAAGCUACGCCCCCCGAAACAACCCACCAAUAAGCGCACGGGCACGGAAGAAGAAAAGGCAGUGUCGCACAGCGGCGCGAGAGGGCGUUCCUGUACCUCGGAACCGGCCGCAUCCGGCGAGCGCGAGCCGGCCGGAGCCCUCCGCGGCGAGGAGGCCCCGGCGCCGGCCCGAUCGGGGGCCCCUGGCCGGCGACGGCGAGGGGCGAGGCGGGGAGAGCGCGAUGGAAACCCUAGCCCCCCACGCGGAAUGGGGGAAGAGCCGCUGCUGGUGCGACGAUGGAUGGCAAUAGUCUCGGCCUCUCGGGGGUGGUUGUAUUGAAAGGUUCUGAGAUGGCAAGGACGGACGGACGGGC